GGAACCUGCACACGUUGCGGUGCAACGAUGGUAAAAGA
rnacentral:ncRNA from 1 species